rnacentral:rRNA from 1 species
GACGAACGCUGGCGGCGUGCUUAACACAUGCAAGUCGAACGGAAAGGCCCUGCUUUUGUGGGGUGCUCGAGUGGCGAACGGGUGGGUAACACGUGAGUAACCUGCCCUUGACUUUGGGAUAACUUCAGGAAACUGGGGCUAAUACCGGAUAGGAGCUCCUGCUGCAUGGUGGGGGUUGGAAAGUUUCGGCGGUUGGGGAUGGACUCGCGGCUUAUCAGCUUGUUGGUGGGGUAGUGGCUUACCAAGGCUUUGACGGGUAGCCGGCCUGAGAGGGUGACAGGCCACAUUGGGACUGAGAUACGGCCCAGACUCCUACGGGAGGCAGCAGUGGGGAAUAUUGCACAAUGGGCGGAAGCCUGAUGCAGCAACGCCGCGUGCGGGAUGACGGCCUUCGGGUUGUAAACCGCUUUCGCCUGUGACGAAGCGUGAGUGACGGUAAUGGGUAAAGAAGCACCGGCUAACUACGUG